CACGUAGGGGGCAAGCGUUGUCCGGAUUUAUUGGGCGUAAAGAGCUCGUAGGUGGUUCGGUAAGUCAGGUGUGAAACCUCCAGGCUCAACCUGGAGACGCCACUUGAUACUGCUGUGGCUGGAGUCCGGUAGGGGAGCGUGGAAUUCCUGGUGUAGCGGUGAAAUGCGCAGAUAUCAGGAAGAACACCAAUGGCGAAGGCAGCUCUCUGGGACGGUACUGACACUGAGACGCGAAAGCGUGGGGAGCGAACAGG
rnacentral:rRNA from 1 species